GAGGAGGGGUUGCAGGCAACCAGCCAUUCUCAAAAAGACUGCCAGGAAGGGGAAUAUGAAUUCACAUGGGAGCUCUGUUAGGCUCUUUCCAAUUUUUUCUGUUUCCAUAGUGCUUGUGGGGCUUUUCUGGUCCAGCUUGCAGGCUGGAGUGCUCUAUGGGGAAGAGUGUAAUCCGAGUCUAGCAGCAGUCAAUCUGCAGCCAGCCAGCCUACCGUAAAGUGGGCACAUGUUCAAAACCGGACAGCCCUGCAUGGAAAGAACAUGGAGCCUCCUUCAUCACCAGACUCCAUGUUGCUUCCCUCGACUACUUGGAUAAAGUUUUCUUUGAAGAGUAACCUUCAGCAGAAUGCACUUCAAAGGACUAUAAAAGAAAGGAGCAGAGAACUUCAAGUUAUCUGCUUCACCGAAGGAGACAAAGCACCUUUAGGCCUCUGGAAGAGACCCUGACUGAGGAGAAGGUCAGUCACCAUCUUGCUAGAAGACAAAGACCAUCUAGAACAAAGCCUUGAACCAAAACUUGCUAGAUUAAGUUUUCAAUUUGUAGAUGUGCGUUUUCACUUUUAUUUGCUGGGAACCAUUUUCUAGCUUUCUUUCUUAUACUGGAAUCCACUUAAAAGCCUAUCUUCUUUUGUUAAUAAACUUGUUUUAUUUUUAAUCUAAACUAACCCUGUGCUGAGUUUGAACUGAACUGUUUGGUAACGUGAGUUAAAGUAAUAAACUGUUAAAUAUUGAAAGGCCAAUGAAUGUUACUAUCCCUCUGGUUGUUCCAGGAUAGGUCUAGAUAUUUCAGAAUUCACAUUUUUGGGAAAAUUCAGGACUGGGGAGAGUGUGAAGUCACCAUUCUAGUUGUUAACCAAGGUUGAUGGAAGCCAGUGGAAAUCUGUGGUAUUGCACACAGGGUCCAGGGUUCAAAGCAUUGGACCAGUGCUGCCCAAUAAAUACACAGAGUGCAUGCUUGUUGCUGACUGGGUGUCCCAGACAGAGAGCCACAGGGGAAAGGCAUUGUGUGGCACUCAAAGUUACAGGGUAAGAGGUGACACAACUCGUCGUGGGUCUGGAUUGCACCCCAGAAUGGGACACUAUGCUGCAACUGCUAGGAGAGGCAGUACAGGAGGCACAGCCCAGAGAGUGAGGAGAUAAUGGUGGCAAAUGAUGGGCUAUUCUGGAGGUGGAAUGGCCCCCAGCAUAAUUAGAGCAGCCAAAGG